GAUCCUGGCUCAGGAUGAACGCUAGCUACAGGCUUAACACAUGCAAGUCGAGGGGCAGCAUUUCAGUUUGCUUGCAAACUGGAGAUGGCGACCGGCGCACGGGUGAGUAACACGUAUCCAACCUGCCGAGUAGCUCGGGGAUAGCCUUUCGAAAGAAAGAUUAAUACCCGAUGGUAUAAUUAGACCGCAUGGUCUUGUUAUUAAAGAAUUUCCGUUAUCGAUGGGGAGUGCGUUCCUAUUAGGUCG
rnacentral:rRNA from 1 species